rnacentral:rRNA from 1 species
GACGAACGCUGGCGGCGUGCUUAACACAUGCAAGUCGAACGGAAAGGCCCUGCUUGCAGGGUACUCGAGUGGCGAACGGGUGAGUAACACGUGGGUGAUCUGCCCUGCACUUCGGGAUAAGCCUGGGAAACUGGGUCUAAUACCGGAUAGGAGCCAUUUUUAGUGUGAUGGUUGGAAAGUUUUUUCGGUGUAGGAUGAGCUCGCGGCCUAUCAGCUUGUUGGUGGGGUAAUGGCCUACCAAGGCGGCGACGGGUAGCCGGCCUGAGAGGGUGGACGGCCACAUUGGGACUGAGAUACGGCCCAGGCUCCUACGGGUGGCAGCAGUGGGGAAUAUUGCACAAUGGGCGCAAGCCUGAUGCAGCGACGCCGCGUGGGGGAUGACGGCCUUCGGGUUGUAAACUCCUUUCGCUAGGGACGAAGCUUUUUGUGACGGUACCUAGAUAAGAAGCACCGGCUAACUACGUG